UGGCGGUGCUUUAGACCACUCAGGGGAACCUGUCUCGUAAUCGACAAUCCACGAUACACCUAACCUUUUAUAGUUAUCAGUAUGUAUACCGUCGUCGUCAGGUAACUUUCAAAAAGAAAAAAGUUAGCAACAGCAAAUUAUAAUUUCAAACGUCAGAUCAAGGUGCAGCUAAUAAAAAGGUGAAGAUGGGUUACAAUUAAAAUUUAUAAUACGAAUUUAAAUCUGAAAUAUUUGGUUUUUUGAAGGCGGACUGAAAGUAAAAAUAAAAAGAUAAAUUUUUGAAUGCGG
rnacentral:rRNA from 1 species